AUGAGCCAGGAAGAGAACAAUGUUGUGGCUCUCUCAGCCUUCACCAAUGGCAGCAUUGAUGCGAAUCCGAUGGAAGAAAAUCUUAGUUUCUCCAAGAAAAUAUCGGAUGGGAGCUCAUGUGAAGAUGAUGCUGACUCUAGCAGACGUUCAGUACAUACAAAAAUCUUGAAGGACAACCAUGUGGAACAAAUAGAACAUCCUUUGUUAGUAGUUGAAGAAGACCAUUUGCUGGAGCAUGUUGGAGAAAACAUUGUUGUUGAGCAUAUACAUUUUGAAGCAGAGCUAGAUGAAGGCGACGCUGCGUCUGAUGUUGAAGUUGAAAGAGUACAUCGUGUACAUGAGGAGCCAAUUACAUACUUCCAGCUGCGUAGGAUUGGUGCGGAUGGAAGAUCGAUGAAGAGGAGAAGAAUCGAUGAGUAA
rnacentral:rRNA from 1 species